GGAGAGAUGGCUGAGUGGUUGAAAGCGACGGUCUUGAAAACCGUUAUGGCGCCUGGCGUCAUCGUGGGUUCGAAUCCCUCUCUCUCCG
rnacentral:tRNA from 1 species